rnacentral:rRNA from 1 species
AUGGAGGCGCUCUGGGUCGUCUUCCCGGUGCUGCAGCACGUCCUGCUCUACGAGGCCGACCACGACAUGCCGCCCUUCGACGCCAUUCUCGAGUCCCUCCGCUCCUCCCUCGCGGCCACUCUUGGCAGCUUCGCGCCGCUUGCCGGCAAGCUGGUCCACCUCGAGGAGACGGGGGACGUCGGCGUCAGCUGCUCCGCCUCCGACGGCGUCCGGUUCGUCGUCGCGGAGUGCGACACAGAUAUCGGACGCCUGGCUGGCGACGAGGAGCACGACCUGCGGGUGCUCGAGGGGCUCGUGCCGGAGGUGGACAUGAGCCAGUUGCCGGCCCCCGUGCUGGCCGUGCAGGCCACGCGCUUCCAGGGCGGCGUGGCGGUGGGCGUGACGGUGCACCACGGUGUCGCGGAUGGCCGGGCGCUGUGGACGUUCGUUGAGGCGUGGGCGGCGGUGUGUAGGGGAGAGACGCCGGCCACGACGCCGUGCUUCGACCGCUCGCUCGUCAAGCUGCCCGGCGGCGAAGAGCUGGCCAGGAGCGUCCUACGGAAGGUGGCCCCGAAUUUGCCUUCGGUGGCACCACCGUCGUCCCUGGUUGAAGAACGAAAGCGGUUCACCCGUCGAACGUUCACCCUGGACGCGGGGGACAUCCAACGCCUCAAGCAACGCAUCGUCCAUCUAGCAGAAUCCCACGGCGCGCCCCUGCCUCGCCCGCCGUCAACUUUCACGGCCGUCGUCGCGCUCGCCUGGACGUGCUUCGCCCGGUGCAAGCCGUUCUCCUCGGAGGACGACGCGCAGCUCUUCUUCUUCGCCGACACCCGCGACUGCCUUGAUCCGCCCGUCGAUGCAGGGUACAUCGGUGCGUGCCUCACCGGGUCCCUAUCGAAGCUCCCCGUGCCGGAGCUUCGUGGUGACCACGCCUUGGCAGCCGCGGCGUCAGAGGUCCAGGACAAGAUCAACAAGGUGAAGGAGGACCCUGUUGCCGGGUGGAACUUCUUCACGCUCAUCCCCGAUGCCUGCCUGGACCGUAUCAUGAACAUAUCGGGCUCGUCGGGAUUUAGAGCAUAUGAGGUCGCCGACUUCGGGUGGGGGAAGCCGAGGCGAACAGAGCCGAUUACGAUGAACCACGACGGUCAGGUGGCGCUGAUGCGCAGCAGGGACGGGCAGGGCGUCCAGGUGUCGGUGUCGCUGCUCCAGCCGGCACAUAUGGAUGCGUUCAAGUCUAGUUUCCUCGAGCUGCUCAAGUGA